rnacentral:lncRNA from 1 species
UGGCCUGAAACCAAUGAUCAUACGCAAUGAUUAUAUCAGUGCAGUACUGAGAAUAUAAAUUAUUAGUUCAGGUUAUUUUCAGAUGUGUUGUUAAACUUUAAUCCGACGACGACUUCUUUUGUAUUCUUUAUAUGCUUCGUCCAGUACAGCGCCAUUUGGAAACUUUAAGUAUUCAACUGAAAUGUCGAUAUGCAGAGAUUCUUGAAAUUCAUAUCUGGCUGAGAUUGCGUGCUUUCUUAAACGAAUCAAAAGUAUUUCAACUCCUUAAACAUAAACAAAGUGGAAGUUUAACAUUACGCGAUAGCCGCCACUUUCUCUAAGUCAAAUAGGUAGUACAUCCAACAAGUCUCGGAACACUCCUUGCAGCACAACUUUUUUAUCAUUAGCAGACUAAGUGUUUUAUCACGAAGCUCCGAUGUAUCACAGUUUCUAUAAGAUAUUCACUGACCGAGUUCUGAACAACAAGCCCCAAUUAGUUUGCAAAAGGACUUUGUUUGUCAAAUAUCUGGAAUAGAAAAUCCAGUUGUUGUCGUAAACACGAUGGCAUCAAUGGAAUAAGUUAUUUGUUGUUGUUUUUUUUCAUUUUACGUCAGGGGAGUACUUUCUUUACCCUAUGAGUAUUGUUGGCCUCACGCUGUCCGAGCACUUGCUAAAUCCGAACUCUGAACAUGCCUAAGGGUUACAAGGUAUAUGAACUCUGAAAAAGAAUUCGGGCGAAGUAUUUGAAAAUUUAAAGUAUCGUGACUGGCGAUGCCGCAGAGACACCUGGGAAAUUUGAGCCCACGUUGAACAGCAAUGCGGCUAUUCAUUCAAAGAUAAAUUUGAGCGGCCAUUUUGAAGUGUCAUGAGAGGAUUUCCUCGAUCUUUUGGAAUGGAGAUUCGAUAGAUGAAGAUAAAUACUUGCACUCCACUGGCUACUUUACUUACGAGAGAAGCCCAGACGGUUACUGAUACUGUUCAAGGUUAGAUACAGUGAAGUAGAAAAUGAGAUGGUAACGAAUGACGUCAUUGAAUCAACAGCUCUCGUCCUUAAAUGGUCAUCCUUUUAGGAUCACUGCCUCGUAAGCGAUGCCCAAGCUCGUCUCAUUGUAGUACAAGUAAGUAUUAAACAAUUUCUUCUUUGGUAUGUAGUUACUUACGUGUUACAACUGUACCUGUUGCAUGUAAGGGUAAGACUACCUCUCUACCUGCUUUGUACGUAAAACGUUGAAGACAUUUUGUAGAAAUGAUGGUGAAAUUGCGACAUAAAAAGUUGCGGGCAGGAUAGCCUCAUGUUACCCGCUUGGGCUGUCAAUCAGAUCACGAGAUUCGCCCACUCUUGGGGCCAGCCAUAUGGUAGAAAUCUUUAUAUUGCUGCGAUGCUACAGCAUUAAUUACUCUGGCCCAGUGGAAGAGUUGAGCGCGGAUGUUUUUGUUCUCAUGGAUGGAAAGGGGUAUUGUAAGAGGAUAGUGUCUUGCUCAUACCUCAGCCCAAUUAGCCGCCUACGUCUGGAUCCCAACUUGCACUCGAACCCAGGCUCCAGCGCUCUGGUAUCCAUUAGACCACCGGUGCUUAUCUUACUGAACCCUUUGACCCCGAGUGAUUGGCAUUUGAUUUCUCCUUUCAUCAUCACCUUUGAAUCAAAUAAAAAGGUCAUGAGAAUAUAGGAAAUAGUCAGCAAUUUAAGAAGCUCCUGAUUGUUAAACAAAUUCUCCUUGUCAGUACAAAAGGAAAUGUAAAGAGAACGAUCAGGUGGAGAUGGAUAAGGCUGGUUAAGAUUGAAACG